AAUAUUGGGCAAUGGGGGAAACCCUGACCCAGCAACGCCGCGUGAAGGAAGAAGGUCUUCGGAUUGUAAACUUUUGUCUUCGGGGACGAAACAAGACGGUACCCGAGGAGGAAGCCACGGCUAACUACGUGCCAGCAGCCGCGGUAAUACGUAGGUGGCAAGCGUUAUCCGGAAUUACUGGGUGUAAAGGGUGCGUAGGCGGGACAUAAAGUCAGAUGUGAAAUGCUGCAGCUUAACUGCGGCCCUGCAUUUGAAACUUAGGUUCUUGAGUGAGGUAGAGGUAAGCGGAAUUCCCAGUGUAGCGGUGAAAUGCGUAGAUAUUGGGAGGAACACCAGUGGCGAAGGCGGCUUACUGGGCCUUAACUGACGCUGAUGCACGAAAGCGUGGGGAGCAAACAGG
rnacentral:rRNA from 1 species